CCGGAGCAGAGGAGGUUGUGUGUCUUCUUCUACGCAAGAGCUUGCCGGGUACGAAGGACAUGCUGGCGUUCGUCGCGCCAAGCAGCAGCAGCAGCUCAGAAGGCAGGGUUCUCCCUUCAGCUAGCGAAAGAGGUGCUUGUGUGCACCAGACUAGGUGGUCGUCCACGGUGUCAGCCGUCUGUACCUGAGCUCAGUCUUCCCUCGCGCGCCUCAGCUGGAGAAUCACCAGAGAGCCUCUCCGACCGGCUAGCCCAAUCCCUGCCCGUUUACCUACUGCUCGCCCAAGACUUAGCGACUGUUCAGAAGAAGGAAAGAAUGGCCUAUUCUGAAAACAAAAGGCUAAUAUUUAGCCUAAUGAUAGGAGCUGCUGGAAUAAGUUUAGUUGCGCUUUGGUAUCGCAUGUCUCGAAAACAAAGGAAAGCUCUACGCUUGUCUACACUUCUGAAUUCAGAGAGCAAUUUUGAUUUGGUGGAUUUUCAGUGUGAAACACAAAAUGAACAAGGAACAGUAAUGUUGUUGCAAGGAAGACAACUUCAGAUACUGGAGAAAUUGAAUAAUUUACUGGUAAGUGUGGAAGAACUUAAAAAGGAGGUGGCAUUUCUGAAAGAAGCUGUUCCAAAGUUGGAGGAACUUGUUAUAGAUGAGCUCCAGGGGAAAACCGAUACUCACAGAACCAGUCCUUUACACAGAGCAACACGGAAGCGGAAAGUUGAGAUUGCUCGAGGUGUGUCAGACACCAACAGUUCUGAAGAGGCGGAAAGUGAAGGCGGCUAUGUUACCGCUCACACGGACACCGAAGGAGAAUCCGAGGAAGAAAAAGGAUGGGUCAGCUCCUCCACAUCUGCUCUGACACCAGAAGAAAAAAUAGACUUGUUUAACCUUCUACAGCAGGUGGACACAUUGCACUGUGGUUCAGACGGUGACAGAGGAGAGAGCUUCAGACUUUUGCUUGAAAAUGAGGAAAAGUACAAAGACUGUGCUGGCUUUCUUUGGAGACUUGCCCGAGCUUAUGGAGAUAUGUUUGAGCUAACUACAAAUGUUGAAGAGAAAAAGAACUAUGCUUCUGAAGGAAAACUUAGGGGUGAAAAUGCUGUUAGUCUUGAUUCAUCAAGUGCAGAGAGUCAUCAAUGGUUUGCAGUGAUGUGCGGCUAUCUGUCUCAGUUUGAAAGUAUACAGAACAAAAUCAAGAAUGGCUAUCUCUUUAAGGAGCAUCUAGACAAAGCAAUUGAACUUAAGCCUCGAGAUCCAUUUUUAUAUUAUCUCCUUGGAAGAUGGUGCUAUGAAGUAGCUCAGUUGUCUUGGAUUGAGAAGAAAGUUGCUACUGCUCUUUUUGGGACACCGCCAACUUCAACGAUACAUGAAGCUUUGCAGAAUUUUCUUAAGGCAGAAGAAAUACAUCCUGGAUAUUCUAAAUACAAUUAUGUCUAUUUGGCAAAGUGCUACAAAGAACUUGGCCAGAGUACUAACGCCUUGAAGUGCUGUGAUUCUGCGCUUUCAAUUCUCUCUGUUACUAAAGAGGAUAAAGAGGCUGAGAAGGAUUUAGAAGCUUUACUUCUUUCUCUGAAGCUGUGAAAAUAAAUUGAACACAUUCAGUUAUCAUGCUUGAAUGAUACUGCAGACUUAGGUCUCAGUUUCAAAAGUGUAAAUGUGAAUCUUGUUGAGUUCAGUGGUGUUUAUAGCCAUGUUGGGCAUAAUCCCAAAGAACAGUCAUUAAUCUUGAAGCUGAUCCAGUGCAAAAAGAUGAGGGCGAGUUAUGCAAGCUUACAACACUCAAGCAAGUUUAUUUCAGAGCCAGUAAUGAGUGCCUGACCCUUGUUUGUGUGCGGUGGGUGCUAUAAGCAGGGCAAUUCUGUUCUGCAUAUUACUACUGCUGCUGCUAACCCAUUUAGAUAGAUUUGUGGAGGCAUGCAAGCAAUCCAGUUCUCUUUGUGGUACUAGUUCUAAUGCAAGGCUAGCCAAGAACUGGAGGCAAUUGCACAAAUAAAUUUGACACAUCUGCUCCUUGGUUUGGUAUCAAGAAAAUGUAGCAAACCCUAGAGUUAGAUGAAAUGUCACAUUUCUCCUUGCCAAUGUCUACUCAGAGUGUCUUUGAAGCAGAAGACUUCCACAAUCACAACAUUCCUUUCCUUUAAUAGAAUUAGUCUGGAAUAAAGAGGUUAUGAAUGAGGGCCUAUAGAUGAAUGAUGCCAUGGAAUUUAGCACAUGGACAUCAUCCAUUCCUUUCUUUUAAAGUUCAUAAGGACUAUUUUACUAAUUUAAAAUGCUAAGAUUAUAACUGGGAAACUCCCAGCCUGAAAUCCACUGCUGGCAAUGGAUGCUUGGUAGCUCCUGAAUAAGGCAUUUGUACUGAGAAUGAUUAGCAAGCUAAUCUCUAAUGCCUGCACAGAAUUGUAUGUAGCAAAAUUUCUAUUUGCACAGACAUGGAAGAAAAUACAUUAUCUCUGUGUGCUCCUUUGCUUUUUUGAAAUUAUAUAGUAAGGAGAAAUUACUCUUGCAAAGGCUAUUCAUAUUUUUAAUCUCUGGAUUUUAAAUAGGAAUGUGAAGACUUUAUAAAUAAGCCAUUUGAAAUUAAUGUUCUGCUUGAAAUAUCUGAAAGCAAAAACAUUAAAUGAGAUUAAUAUAAUGGUGUGCUGUUGUGGUGUCUCUGUACAUGCAUGUGGGUGGGGGCAAAGUGACUUCCGUAGAUGAGUUGCUUUGGGAGAAGAACUGCCCAGUUUAAAUUUUAUGGUAAACUGACAGCUGGGACAUGGCCAGUGUAACAAUCUGGAACUCUUCAAAAAGUAACUGAAAAAAACUAUGGUCUGUAAGUAUUUCCCCCUCCCUUUCCUAAUUUCUACUUAUUUGAACAUUAGGCAAUUUGUUGCAUUCUCAUCCUGUGAUAAAGACUCAUUUGUGAUUUUCCAGUGUAGAACAUGGUGUUUUGUAGGCAAAUGUUUUACUGAGCUAUGCUUUCUUGAAAUCAAGAAAGAUAAGUUUGCCUUUUCCCCUGCAUACCAGACAUGUCUUUGAUCCUCACUAUAGCAUCUGUGUAUUGUGAGGACUUUACAGCUGCAAUCCUAAAAGCACUUUCCUAGGCGUAAACCCCAUUGGAUACUGUGCAACUUACUUUUGAGUAGACCUUAGGAUUGUUCCCUACAUGAUUUACAACCUGUAAGCAAGAUUGAUUAAGUCAAUAAAAUAGUGUAUGUUCAAGAACUAUCCUAAUGCUUAAAGAUGCUGGGGCUCAAAGUCUGUGUGUUCUUCAGACCUCUGUGCUUCUUUCCAGCAAGGUUUCUGCUGAUUGUUUUUCUUAGCUUUUACUAAUCAACUGGACUUUUAUCACGCCUAUACAUUACUUCUUAUUUUCCUAGUUGCCUGUUGCUCGGUUCAUCACCAUGACACCUUUAAGUUGUCCAAAACUGGUAGAAAAAUGUGAAACGUAUGGUGAGACAAACUAAUUUUUGAUACCAAAGGCCUCUGGCAUCUAUUUUAUGUUUUUCUUCUGAGCAAUGUUGCUUCUUUGACUUGAUAGGGUUUGCCACAAAAACAUCUGAAAAGAGAAGAAGCCUCUGCCAUUUCACUAGUUCGACAUUAAUAUACAAUCUAUUCCCCACUCCUACCCUCAGAAGCAAAUGAUCUGAUGAUUGGAUUCACUGAGCCACCCACCAACAUAAGUAUAUUGAAUCUCUCCCAGCUUUCUUGCCAAACCAAAUGCUAUUCAUAUCCAAGCUAAAGGGAAAGCCAAACCAAAUUCCUAAACAGAGAAGCCUUCCAGCCAAGUUUUUAGUUAUUAGUAAUAAUUUUUGUUCCAAGCAGGCAGGCAGACCACUCAGCUGCAACUGCAGUCCUGUCAGUAACUUCACCUGAGACAAAGGACUCCUAUGGGGAGAAAGAAAAAUGUCUAUGAAACUAAUUCUCAAAUACCAAUGGAAUUCACUUUCUACAGUAUCCAUUUGCAAAUGUCUUGCUCGGUGUGAGCUUGCAGAGCUUCAACAUCCUUAUGUUUGUUUUUCAUUGUUUUCUUGUUUCUCCAAUAUACAAUAAAACAGGAAGAAAAACAAAGCAAAGAUGGCCACAGAAGUAUUUGGUCAGAAAAUGCAACCCUCCAUCUUAGUCAAAACAACUGACGAGAAUAAAUCCUAAGAAGUUGCAUGGACAAAAAGACUUGGCUGAACGCAUAUAGAAAAAGUGAUAUGUUUACCUGGCUUCAUAGAUUUUCUAUUCCUUGGAUCAAUCAUCAACGAAAAGUGAGACUGCAAUGAAAUCAGAAGAAGAUUGAGACUUGGAAGAGCAACUGUGAGGGAGCGAGAUAAGAUCCUUAAAGAUAAAGAUCUGUCUCUGGGAACCAAGAUCAAGAUAAUCCAAAUUAUGGUACUCCCCAUUACUAUGUAUGGAUGUGAACGUUGGACAGUGAAGAAAGCUGACAGGAAGAAAAUUGAUUCAUUUGAAAUGUGGUACGGGAGGAGAGUUUUGCGGAUACCAUGGACAGCCAAAAAGACAAGUAAGUGGACAGUAGAUCAAAUCAAGCCUGAAUUCUCCCUAGAAGCUAAAAUAACAAAACUAUUGUACUUUGGUCACAUCAUGAGAAGACAAGAUUCUCUGGAAAAGUCAAUAAUGCUAGGAAAAGUGGAAGGCAGUAGGAAAAGAGGAAGGCCUAAAAUAAGAUGGCUUGACUCAAUAAAAGAAGCCUCAUCCUCCAAUUUACAGGAUCUGAGCAAGUCUGUUAAUGAUAGGAUGUUUUGGAGGUCUUUCAUUCAUACGGUCAUCAUAGGUCAGAGGUGACUUGAUGGCGCACAUGCACACACACACCUAC